CCUGCGUGAGAAAGCCCACUCGGCCCCGCCCAGAAAGGUCAGGCUUUGAGACUCCGCCUCCAGCCACACUCGGCGCUAUCUGCGCCUGCGCAAAUUUCGCUGUUUGCGCCUGCCCAGAGCGGCCACUUUGGAGGCUGUCCAGCCUCAGGGCCCUGUGGACCCUGAGCUGCCAGGCACUUGGAGUCACAUCUAGAAGAGUCAGCAGGAGCCACAUCUCGCUGUAGAGCUGUUGUGCCUCUGUGAACAGACAGCACCACAGUCUCUGUGGAUAUUAUUCAGGAAAUUUUGGGGGGACCAUAUUCUGUGAAUUUUUUUCUGGAAUCAGUGAAGUUCAUCUGCAGCUAGAGGGACUGGCUUCAGCCUUUUCCGCUUUUCCAAGUCUUUCAUGACCCUAUUAGGAAAGGGGACACUAAAGAUUUUGUCUCUGCUAAGUGAACCAUGAAGGAAAAACAAGAAAGGAACUUUGCUUCAGUUCUCUUGCAAUGCUUUGCUUUGGCAGGUAUCAGAAACCACAGUGAUAAACAGCACAGCCAUGCGCUGGCUUCCACACACUCUCUGUCUUUAAAAGACAGCCAAGUCUCUUCUCAGAAUCCAACCAUCUGUAUGAAGAAGCAUGCAUUUUAUUUUUAUAGCUGUUGUGAAUGUGAGUUUUUGUACCUCAAGUCUGAAGAUCUAUCAUCAUUCCUCUUUGCUCAGGGUAGCUACAGCUCAAGGAUGCUGAGGCUGCUUUCUACCAUGGAUAGCAGUGAGCCUUAUGCAGACACUGAUUUUCUCUACAUACACAGCCUUAUAACAAAGUCUUAUUAAUAAAUUAGGUAUAACAAGAGUUUAGUAAUAAUAGGUAAUAAAACAGAAGUUAUUAGAAUACUUUAUACUGAAAGUUAUACAAAUAUGUUUCCUCUGCAAAGAAUAAAUAUAAAUAAUGAUAUUUUUAGACUAUCACUGGCCAUCAAGAAAGCUACAAAGAGCAAAACAACAUGCAAGGCCUGCUGGGCUACAUUUUUGGUGUGUGAACUACCCAAACAUUAAAAAGAAGUUUUGUGCUUGCAUACCAUUUAGAGCGGGAACAUCCGGUCGAGGGAAAACUGUCAUGUGUGCUCUCCAACGUCCAGCCAGCAAUACGUCCUCAAAGAGGCCCUUCCGAUUCCCUAAAGGUCACACAUUUCCAGUUUGGUGAUUCUCUAGUGUGUCUGUGCGCUUUUCUUUUCUUUGCAUCAGUGCGAUUUUACAGCAAGGAUGUACGAGUGUAGCUGUGUGGAUACCAUCUGUCUCCUCUGUUUUCCACACUGUCUCACAUAUUCCACGGGUGCAGGAACUGAUAAACGUUGUUCACUUCAGUCUGAAACACAUUUCCCAGCACGGGGCUGCCACCUUGAUACUCACCUAAGAAGAUAAACAAGUGAAAAAAUGGAAUGAGCAUCAUCAUCACAAUCAUCGGAUACCGCCCAGACCUGCCACCAGAUCGUUGUUGGCCAGCUUCCCAUCAUGAUGUGGCUCUUCCUUGCCUCGUCCCCUCCCUCUGCUCCUCUUCCAUUUUGUUAGUUCUCAGUUCUGAGCCACAGUCACAGCAAGUACCCCACAGAAUGUGAUGCUGCCUUACUUCUGGUAUCAGAUUGUCUCCCACAGAGGCUGAGCAACCACAUAAUGCCUGUCUGCAAUGGAGGAUGCAGAAGGUGAUCAGCUAAAGUUGUGAAGCUGGAAGAAUACAGAGCAGGGUGGCAGCUAGUGAGGCUCCGAUCUGAAGCUGAAACCUGCAAUUCCCCUGGAGAGGUGUGGGCAUGAGUCUGAAUUCAAAGGCUGAGGGAUAUGAAGUCCAUUAUCAGCGUUGACAAGAAAUCCUGUACCCACUGCAGAAGGGCUCAGGACAUACGACAGCAAGGUCGUCCAUCUUCAGCUCUUUGCCAGCAGCUCCUGCCUCCUGGACAAUGUCACCCACUUCCAGGCCAGAUCUGUUUUGCACAGGUUGCUGAGCCUCACACCAGUCUUCUUAGAAAAUCCCCCAUGGACUCAUCCAGAAGUGUAAUUCAUCAGUUUUCUAGGUGUUCCCUCAGUUCAGGCAAGUUGAAAAUUAAAGUUAAAAAUCACAUAGUCUUUAUUGGGAACAACCCUUACAGACCACUUUUGUGAUUUCUCUUUCUCAUCUUGUGCUUUUUUGUAAAUGAUUCAACAGGAAGCAAACACAAUCACCUUAGCUGACAUAGCAUCCACCUGCCUUUCAUUCUGAGUCCAUAAUAAAGUAGGAAACACAAGGUUUGUCCAAAAGAGAAUAACUCCAAAUCUCAGCACAUCUCCCAUGCUCAGAAUAUCAUAUGGAGUGAUUUGUAGAGCUUAAGGUCCUGCUUGAUGAACUGCAUUAUCCCUGGACUACCUUCCCUAGAUGCUCAGGCUCAGGACCAGAACAGAAAUAUUUCAGAUUUUCUAUCCCACUGAAAGCUCCUUGAAUUGUGGAAACAGGAAUAUUUUACCCACUAAACAGGACAAGACAACGCUUCCUCCGUGGCUAAAGAGGCUGUUUGGACCAAUCCAAAGCAAUGCAGGAAAGUAGAUUUCACAGUGUACAGCCCAAGGCAGGGAGGGCUGGACCAUAUUCAACCCAGUUGUUGGUCAGGGUCGUUCACAAUAGGUGCUUUCCAUCACUCUGUCCACCUGAAGUCUCAUUGCUCUUUGGGAAGAAGUGUACAACUAGCUAUUUCGUCUGUGUAUUUAUUGAUCUCAGAGACAAAAAUAGUUAUCCUGAACAGUCAAAACUAUAAGGCCUUUCUUUCUUUUGAUCAGGGGAAUUUAAGUCCUGUGUUUACUAUUGGACUAAAAACUGCCAUCAAAGUCAUGCUGAGCCUUAAAAGGGUCCUACAGACUUGGAGCUGGCAUGGAAGUCAACUUUCCUGAGAUUCAAAGAAAAAGAUAGGACCAUUGCAUCCACUUCCCUUUCUUGUAGGAAUGAGCAGGAAAUUCAAGUGUCUGGUACUGUCUUUCUCCUGAGUAUCUUGGUCCUUUAACUUCUGUCUCUCCCAGGCCAUCUGACUACCUCACCUCAUGGUGCUUGCUUUAUAGCCUUGCAUUCAAGGAAGUGCAAAAUCAUCCUUCCUCAGAGUUGGCUGUGAUGAGGCAGCCGUGGCUGCUCCGUGACCUAGAGGAAAUGAGCAAAGACUGUGUUUCUCGUUUAUCCCACCUGAAAUAUGAUGGACUCAGCUUUAACCUGCAGUUACUUCACUGUCUAGUAGUUAAACAAGUAUUCAUUCAUCAAUUCCUAUCCUUCAGCACAUAUUUUUAUUUUUCUCCUUGAAACUAUGAAGGCAUGGGGGCUCUGGAUGAAAGUGUAAUUUGUUAUAACUAACCAGAAAUGUGCAUCAUCUACUAGUACCAGUUUUUUCUACUUUGGGGUUUUGUUCUUACCGUCUUUAUGCUCCCGGAUUUCUACUGCUUAGGUCUGGACUGCUUCCCAGGGGCUCAUGUGUUGAAGGCUUUGUAGGAGCUCCUCAGGUCCCUGAGAUCAUGCCCCUGCAGGGGACAGGGAUACUCUGAUACUUUCUUCUUUUUUUUUUUCUUUGCUUACUGGUCACUAUCCUGGGUCACUUCAUGCCCAGAAGCAGUGAGACUCAUUGAUCCUGAGCUGUAUCUCUAAACUGUGAGCCAAAAUAAACUUUUUCUCUCUAUAAAUUAA